AUAAUAUAAAUGAGUUAAUAUCCAAUUUAAUCUUCAAUUGUAGUGUUUUUUUUCUUCUCCCAAAAGGUUAAAUCCCCAACCCUAAGGACCGACAGAACAUUUGGAAAGGUGUAAAUCACAGUGACUCAGUAGACGGGGCCAAAUGUUGCUGCCUACAAGGGAUCUGCCCACUUUGGGCAUGAUCCCCACACUGCCGUUGCUGAGUUUUGAACAUUGGUCUAUUCUCCCAAAUACUGUCUACUGAACUAGUAGCAGUAUCUAAGUACAAGAUGAUCAAUGCUGCAGGGGAAGAAGGAUUUGGAGAAGCAUGCGAGGAAUUGUACGAGAAACUGAGAGUGCUAGAA